rnacentral:rRNA from 1 species
AUGACAAUGGCUGCAGCUCUUGCAUCAAGUCCAGAUGUCGGUUCAUCCAUGAAAAUUAUAGAAGGGUUAGCUACCAGCUCCACUGCAAUUGUUAGUCUUUUCCUUUGCUCAGUUGAUAAUCCAGUCACACCAGGUAGUCCAACCAAUGAAUCUUUUAAGGGGGAAAGCUCCACAAGCUCCAUGACCUCAUCGAUGAACAUCUUCUUGUUGAGGAAUCAACAUCAGCUGGCAAUCGUAGCCAUGCAGAGAAUGCAAGGGACUCGUAGACGGUCACAUUUGGUGAAUGGAUAUCAUUCUGUUCACAGUAUCCUGACACACGAGCAAAAGUUUCUUGCUUCUUUGGGUAGCCAGAUAUUGUAA